rnacentral:lncRNA from 1 species
CUAAGGGGUAUUACUUCUAUCUUACUGAUGAACAAAAAGUAUUCGUCUGCAAAAAAAUAGUCUUUUUGAAAAAAGAGUUCCUUAGAGAAGAAACCAAUAUCUCUAAGAUUGAACUUGAUGAAGUUCAAUCAGUAGAAGAACUGACACAAUUUAGUAAAUCCAUAGAGUCAGAUUUGAUUAGAUCAAAUUCGAAACCUAUUAUAAAGACAUCUUUGAGG